GAUGAACGCUGGCGGCGUGCCUAAUACAUGCAAGUCGAGCGAACGGACGAGAAGCUUGCUUCUCUGAUGUUAGCGGCGGACGGGUGAGUAACACGUGGAUAACCUACCUAUAAGACUGGGAUAACUUCGGGAAACCGGAGCUAAUACCGGAUGAUAUUUUGAACCGCAUGGUUCAAAAGUGAAAGACGGUCUUGCUGUCACUUAUAGAUGGAUCCGCGCUGCAUUAGCUAGUUGGUAAGGUAACGGCUUACCAAGGCAACGAUGCAUAGCCGACCUGAGAGGGUGAUCGGCCACACUGGAACUGAGACACGGUCCAGACUCCUACGGGAGGCAGCAGUAGGGAAUCUUCCGCAAUGGGCGAAAGCCUGACGGAGCAACGCCGCGUGAGUGAUGAAGGUCUUCGGAUCGUAAAACUCUGUUAUUAGGGAAGAAAAUAUGUGUAAGUAACUGUGCACAUCUUGACGGUACCUAAUCAGAAAGCCACGGCUAACUACGUG
rnacentral:rRNA from 1 species